rnacentral:misc_RNA from 1 species
CCAAUAGCGUAUAUUAAGGUUGCUGCGGUUAAAAAGCUCGUAGUUGAAUUUCGGAAUUGAUGCAUCGGUCGUGCCUUAAGGGGCAUGAACUGGUGUAGCCAAUUUCUCACCUUCUGGUGAAUUGUGAUGUUCUUAAUGGGUGUCUCAAUGAACUAGAAUUUUUUACUUUGAAAAAAUUAGAGUGUUUAAAGCAGGCAUUAAUUUGCUUGAAUACAUUAGCAUGGAAUAAUGAAAUAGACAGUGGUUCCGUUUUGUUGGUUUCUAGGAUCACGUAAUGAUUAAUAGGGACAGUUGGGGGCAUUAGUAUUCAAUUGUCAGAGGUGAAAUUCUUGGAUUUAUUGAAGACUAACUAUUGCGAAAGCAUUUGCCAAGGAUGUUUUCAUUAAUCAAGAACGAAAGUUAGGGGAUCAAAGACGAUUAAGUACGUCGUAGUCCUAACCAUAAACUAUACCGACUAGGAAUCAGACGAUGUUAAUUUUUUAAUGACUCGUUUGGUACCUUACGGGAAACCAAGUGUUUGGGUUC